CCAGAGAACUUAGCAGAGAUGCUUUGGUGCCUUCGGGAACUCUGAGACAGGUGCUGCAUGGCUGUCGUCAGCUCGUGUUGUGAAAUGUUGGGUUAAGUCCCGCAACGAGCGCAACCCUUAUCCUUUGUUGCCAGCGGCUCGGCCGGGAACUCAAAGGAGACUGCCGGUGAUAAACCGGAGGAAGGUGGGGAUGACGUCAAGUCAUCAUGGCCCUUACGGCCAGGGCUACACACGUGCUACAAUGGCGCAUACAAAGAGAAGCGACCUCGCGAGAGCAAGCGGACCUCAUAAAGUGCGUCGUAGUCCGGAUUGGAGUCUGCAACUCGACUCCAUGAAGUCGGAAUCGCUAGUAAUCGUAGAUCAGAAUGCUACGGUGAAUACGUUCCCGGGCCUUGUACACACCGCCCGUCACACCAUGGGAGUGGGUUGCAAAAGAAGUAGGUAGCUUAACCUUCGGGAGGGCGCUUACCACUUUGUGAUUCAUGACUGGGGUGAAGUCGUAACAAGGUAGGCGUAGUGCU
rnacentral:rRNA from 1 species